rnacentral:rRNA from 1 species
CGCGUAGGCGGUCCUAUAAGUCAGAUGUGAAAGCCCCGGGCUUAACCUGGGAGGUGCAUUUGAAACUGUAGAACUUGAGAUCGAGAGAGGAAAGUGGAAUUACGAGUGUAGAGGUGAAAUUCGUAGAUAUUCGUAAGAACACCAGUGGCGAAGGCGACUUUCUGGCUCGAUACUGACGCUAAGGCGCGAAAGCGUGGGGAGCAAACA